rnacentral:tRNA from 1 species
GGGAAGGUGGCUCAGUGGUAGAGCACUUGCCUUGCAUGCAUGAGGCCCUUGGUUCGAUUCCUCAGUACCA